AGAAUCAACGCUGGCGGCGUGCCUAACACAUGCAAGUCGAUCGAGAAAGUGGAGCAAUCCAUGAGUAAAGAGGCGCACGGGUGAGUAACACGUGACUAACCUACCUUCGAGUGGGGAAUAGCCUGGGGAAACCCGGGCUAAUACCGCAUAACACCUACGGGUCAAAGGAGCAAUUCGCUUGAAGAGGGGGUCGCGGCAGAUUAGUUAGUUGGCGGGGUAAUGGCCCACCAAGACGAUGAUCUGUA
rnacentral:rRNA from 1 species